GUUGUUGUGGCUGAGUGGUUAAGGCGAUGGACUCAAAAUCCAUCUCCCCGCGUAGGUUCAAAUCCUGCUGACGACG